AUGGACGGCCAUAGGGGCUUGGUUCUACCCGAUCCCAUUUCGAACUCGGCAGUCAAGCAAGCCUCCGUUUUAUCAAGUACUGCACUACGCGGGAACCAUAGAAAGCUGUCCUCU
rnacentral:rRNA from 1 species